rnacentral:lncRNA from 1 species
CUCUGCCCCUCCCUCGCUGUGGCGGGAGGGGCCAGGAAAGGGUUAAGCAGAAACUUGGCAGAGGAGCUGAGCGGCAUGGAGAGGGGAGGGACUGGGCUGCGCUCAGCUGGGUGGAGAGGGAGGGGAGGAUGAAAGUCAGCCUCCCAGCCAUUGCAGCAGAGCGAGCCAGGGCGGAGGGCAGGCAGCGAGCUGUGUGUGUGUGUGUGUACGCGCGCUGUCUGGCAGGGGAGGCUGCCCCGCUUGCCGUGCAGCCCGGGAGGAGACUCUUCCCCCUGCCCUGGAAACGCUCCCCGGAGCCUGGCCCUAGAGAACUCGGCUCCGCGGCCGUGAGAGGGACACACAGGGCGCCUGCGGGCCGGAGGAGCGACAGGCUGGCGGCGGGUCAACCCUCUGUUUCUUGGUCAGAGUAAGGGUACGUCUAUACUUAACCGCUGAUUCGGUGGCAAGCAAUCGAUCUAUCGCGUCUAGACAAGACGCGAUAAAUCGAUCCCAGAAGUGCUCGCCAUUGACGCUGGUAAUCCUGCUCCGUGAGAGGAGUAUGCGGAGUCGACGGGGGAGCCUGCCUGCUGUGUGUGGACGCGGUAAGUACCUUUAAGUUCGAACUAAGAUACUUGGACUUCAGCUGAAGUUGCAUAUCUUAGUUCGAACUGGGGGCUUAGUGUGGACCAGCCCAAAGGAAAAUGGCAGCUGCUUAGGCUUAUGUCCCUUUCUUUUCUAUCCUGUUCAGUUUAAAUACACUCAGUUGUUUCACUUAGUCUUUUGGAAUUGGUGGGUUGCCUUUCUGCUGUAGGCAAGCAUGCAUGCCACUCCUGCUGGUCUGCUUCCGAGUCAUUUCAGAAUCUGUAGUGCAGAGCAUUUAUUCAGAGACGUUGUUACCUACCAACUAAGGAGCCUGGAUUUCACCCUAGGUCUCCUAAAUCCUAGAUCUCUUGUCUAAAUGGAAGGUCUUUCUAGAUGAUGGGAGAGGGAUGCCUCAGGAACAGCUGGCCGGAAAAUGUCCGGUCCCCAUUUCUUCAGAUUUGAUUCAUGAGAAAUGUAACAAAAGUCCUCCCACCACUCCAGCGUUUCUUUUCCCACUAACAUACUACCAAGGGAAUAGGGGUUGUGUCCUCACCCAAACUGCUCAUCAGUGCCACCCUAAGGCUGAGUAGAGACUGCUUGAAGUUCUCUUGGCACUGGGGAAACUGCGAUUACUUUCCAGGAACCACUGCAGAAAUGGGAUGCUGACUCCCCCCCCGCCCCCCCCUUAGCCCUUCAUUCAGUCUGGACUCUGGGCCUAACUCUCCACUGCCUUGUUCCCCGUGUAGUCAUUUACACCCACACAGAGUGAGUUCAAAAAUCAAAUCAGGAUGGUAGCAUUUUACAGUCCCUUUGCACUCAGUAGGCACAGGUUAAAAUGAUAACGCAAGG